rnacentral:SRP_RNA from 1 species
UAUGGUCCUGCCAACGUCGGCCCGUGAACUCCGCCAGGCCCGGAAGGGAGCAACGGUAGCGGUAACCGACGUGUGGCGGGGCCUUUUUU